UAGAUUUCAUAACCUAAUUACUUGGGAAGAUUAGACUUUUUGGGAUUAUGCUUAUAGUCACUGCAUAUGUCAUGUCGUCGUCAUCAUCCUCAUUAGUACAGUGGAAAAGACAUUUCUCUUCGGAAGUGAAAUGUAGACUGCACUAUGAAUUCUUCUUAAAAUCGUCUGUAUAUAUGUUGCUGAUGUUGAUCCCAUGUAUUAGUCACAAUUACGAAAGUGAAGCUUCUUCUGUUCUUAAAU
rnacentral:lncRNA from 1 species